NNNNNNNNNNNNNNNNNNNNNNNNNNNNNNNNNNNNNNNNNNNNNNNNNGUCAAGUGGCAUGCAACUCCCCUGUCUGGCUCCCUGUGUCCCGCACACCCCAGAUGCACAACCAGCCACAUGCUACACACACGCCCACACACUCCACACACUCAGCCACAUGCCGCACGCCCCACACGUGCACCCAGCCGCUUGACUCAGGCCCUCCACACACACAGAGCCACAUGCUACACACCAUGCAUCCAGCCACAUGCCAUGCACACAGCCACAUCCACACAGAAACCCCCAGCCACAUGUCGCAUGCACCCAACCAUGUGCCCAGCCACAUGCUGCAAGCCACACACCCCCAGCCACAUGCCACUCACACACAAACAGCUCCCCACUUACCUAGCCACAUGCCACACACAUACAGCCACAUGCCACACACUUGCACACACAGCCACACUCACUUAGCCACACGCCGCACAAGCACCCACACACACCACGUGCCACACACACACAGCCACACGCUACCCACACACAGCCACACAUCACAGGCACCACAUACACACACACACACACACACACACACACACCUACAUGCCACACACCCCCACACACCACCCCUCCCACACAUACCCAGCCACACACUAGAUGCCAUGCACCCAGCCACAUGCGACACAAACACUCAGAUGUGUGCCGCAUGCCACACGCACCCAGCCACAUGCCACACACCCCCAGACAUGCUGCACACUAUACACACCCAGCCACACACCACACACCCAGCCACAUGCAGCAUGCCACACAUACCCAGCCACAUGCGGCAUGCCACACACACAGAGCCACAUGCUGUAGGGCAGUCGGAGCCCAGCGGGUUAUCCAGGGGCACUGCACAGAGAAGCCAAGGUGGGGGGCAUGUGCCUCCCUCCCACAGCUCCCCUGUAGUGCAUGCAGAAGUGGGAGCUGCCACCCUGCACCCCUGGAGGUGCUGUUGGGCUCCCAUGGCCCCACAAUUCAGCCCUGCCUGAGCACAGCCCCCCACUACUCCAGGAUCAGCCUGGUGUAGUCUUAGUUACACUCCCCCCCACCCAGCCUUCCCCCAGUGGUGGUACUGCCAUUGUGCCACCACCAUUCCCCUUCCUUUCCUGCUCCCCUCCCCCUCCAUGCCAGCUGUUGGUGGGGGAGGGUGCGGCAUGGUGGCUCCCUGGCCCCCUACUGCCUUUGC
rnacentral:lncRNA from 1 species